GCCUCCCAGAACUGACUCCCCACCCCCAACAUAUUUUGUCUUUUGCUGAAGCUGGUAUUUAAAGUGAUGGCUGCAGCCGUUUCAGGGAGUUACUCACUUUUCCUGGGUCUCUGCCAUGUAUACAGGAGGCCUCGAGGGAGGGCCGUGUGAGGACCUAGAAUCUGGCCAUCUGCAAUCCGACAAGAGCGAUCUCACCAGGAACUGAAAUGGCUGGCACCUUGAUCCUGGACUUCCCACCAAAAUCAGAGAGAGCCAACAGGAGCUGGUGGAGGGGUAGAGGGAGAGAGAGAGAAUCCUGAGCAGA